UUUAUAAAAUGUUAUUCAACUAUAAACUACAUUUAUAUUAAUCGAAAUUAUUUUCAUUAAUAUAAGGGUAAAAGGACAAGUUAAUUACAACUAUUAUUAGGUGUGUGUGUAUAUAUAGGCGAUUUAUUCCCUCAUUUUUAAUUUGUUUGUUGGUAAAAAGUACACAUUGAGUAGGGCUGUAGUAUAGAUGUUUUGGACCGUACAGUCAACAUGAGUUAAUGAGUUUAUAGUACUUUAUUACAGUUUUAUUCGGUUUCUAACAAAAUGGGUCAACCGUACCUUUAACUACAUAAUAUACUUGCACCAUAAAUGCGUGUAUAUGGGUACUUUAAUUAAUUAACUAAUGAAGGCUACGGGCUAACGGACUGAGAAUUAAUUUACAAUAGUGUUGUAGGUAUGUACUCUGUGUACGAAAGUAAUUUGAUAAGUAGGUAACCGACAUAAAAGGGUAAUUAAAAUCGCUUUAGUUUUUUAUUUUCGUGUCAUUACGAGUAAAGGUCAUUACGAGUGUAUUUUUAACCGACUUCUUCUAUGUUAGGAUAUGUCACUAGCGCGUCGAAACUGAGGCGAACAAAAGUGCCUAAUUGUAUUAAUUUCAUUUAGUCGCAUAGUUAUUUUAACAAAUACUUAAUACCUAUACUUCAGUCUUUCUAGAUGAGUACUGUUUACCAACACACAAAUUAAAAAUGAGGUACUCAUCAAGAAAGGCUGUAGUAUAAAUAUGGUCUACAAUGUCAAAUUGUGUGUUUGGAAGUGUAUAAACUAUUUAUACUUACAUAAAUAUAUACAAU
rnacentral:lncRNA from 1 species